rnacentral:rRNA from 1 species
GGUUAAGCGACUAAGCGUACACGGUGGAUGCCCUGGCAGUCAGAGGCGAUGAAGGACGUGCUAAUCUGCGAUAAGCGUCGGUGAGGUGAUAUGAACCGUUAUAACCGGCGAUUUCCGAAUGGGGAAACCCAGUGUGUUUCGACACACUAUCAUUAACUGAAUCCAUAGGUUAAUGAGGCGAACCGGGGGAACUGAAACAUCUAAGUACCCCGAGGAAAAGAAAUCAACCGAGAUUCCCCCAGUAGCGGCGAGCGAACGGGGAGGAGCCCAGAGCCUGAAUCAGUGUGUGUGUUAGUGGAAGCGUCUGGAAAGGCGCGCGAUACAGGGUGACAGCCCCGUACACAAAAAUGCACAUAUUGUGAGCUCGAUGAGUAGGGCGGGACACGUGGUAUCCUGUCUGAAUAUGGGGGGACCAUCCUCCAAGGCUAAAUACUCCUGACUGACCGAUAGUGAACCAGUACCGUGAGGGAAAGGCGAAAAGAACCCCGGCGAGGGGAGUGAAAAAGAACCUGAAACCGUGUACGUACAAGCAGUGGGAGCCUCUUUAUGGGGUGACUGCGUACCUUUUGUAUAAUGGGUCAGCGACUUAUAUUCUGUAGCAAGGUUAACCGAAUAGGGGAGCCGAAGGGAAACCGAGUCUUAACUGGGCGUUAAGUUGCAGGGUAUAGACCCGAAACCCGGUGAUCUAGCCAUGGGCAGGUUGAAGGU